rnacentral:lncRNA from 1 species
GUACCGGUUUAAGGUCUUAGUGCACUGUCUGGGCAGAUGAAGGAUUCCUGCCCUGUGCACGAGAGUCUUAGUGCACUGUCUGGGCAGAAGAAGGUUUCCUGCCCUGUGCACGGGUGGAAGAAGGUUCCCCACCCCGAAAUGGCGCCUGUGAGUAGAUGAAGGAUUCCUACUCCGAAUAGUCUUUUUCUUUCUUUUUUUCCUUUUUAGAAAGCGCACCGGGGGACGCCCCAAUCGCGCAGGCUCUGGGACUCGUGAGAGACGUUCCACGAGUCAGCCUUUGUUGGGUCCUGGCUCUGGGACGCGUGAGAAACGUUCCUCGAGCCGAAUUUUGUCGGGAGGACCCGGCAACGGACAGUCAAAAAGAUCUGACUGUGACUUUGGAGGUCGAGUUCGGCUGCCUAUUUAAGUAUAGGCACGGACAAGUGUGCUUAGAUGUGUUAGUGUCUGUUGUCUGUAUUCUGUUUCUGUGUUUGGUAUCCCGGAAGCAGCUAAGGUUAAGCUGCAGUUUGGGCCAGGUACUGAAGGUACCAGGCAUCUGUGGAAAUUGGUUAUAGGAUGCUUUGUCUUGGUCUUGUUUGUCUGGA